CCCGCUGAAUUUAAGCAUAUUUGUCAGCGGAGGAAAAGAAACUAACCAGGAUUCCCUCAGUAAUGGCGAGUGAACAGGGA
rfam:Pan troglodytes isolate Yerkes chimp pedigree #C0471 (Clint) chromosome 17, whole genome shotgun sequence.